rnacentral:tRNA from 1 species
UGGCUCAGUGGUAAAGAAUCUGCCUGCAGUGCAGAAGACCCAGGUUUGAUCCCUGG